rnacentral:rRNA from 1 species
ACUCAAAUGAAUUGACGGGGGCCCGCACAAGCGGUGGAGCAUGUGGUUUAAUUCGACGCAACGCGCAGAACCUUACCCAGACUUGACAUCCUUGGAAUCCUGCAGAGAUGCGGGAGUGCUCGCAAGAGAGCCAGGAGACAGGUGCUGCAUGGCUGUCGUCAGCUCGUGUCGUGAGAUGUUGGGUUAAGUCCCGCAACGAGCGCAACCCUCGCCUUUAGUUGCCAGCAUUCAGUUGGGCACUCUAGAGGGACUGCCGGUGUCAAGCCGGAGGAAGGUGGGGAUGACGUCAAGUCCUCAUGGCCUUUAUGUCUGGGGCUACACACGUGCUACAAUGGCCGGUACAAAGGGCAGCAAAAGCGCGAGCUUGAGCCAAUCCCAGAAAACCGGUCCCAGUUCGGAUCGAAGUCUGCAACUCGACUUCGUGAAGUCGGAAUCGCUAGUAAUCGCGGAUCAGAACGCCGCGGUGAAUACGUUCCCGGGCCUUGUACACACCGCCCGU